CAACGAUAAACGCAGCCCUGUCGAAAGGCAGGUACGCAAAGCUAAAGGGCCUUCCACAAGGAUGGCAGCCUGGCUACCGAA
rnacentral:ncRNA from 1 species